GGGUGAGUAAUACAUAGGUAACCUGCCCCUGUGCGGGGGAUAACAGGAGGAAACUCCUGCUAAUACCGCAUAGCCAUGAGCACCGCAUGGAGCUCAUGCCAAAUAUCCUUUCGGGGAUAGCGCAGGGAUGGACCUAUGGCGCAUUAGCUUGUUGGCGGGGCAACGGCCCACCAAGGCAACGAUGCGUAGCCGGCCUGAGAGGGCGGACGGCCACAUUGGGACUGAGACACGGCCCAGACUCCUACGGGAGGCAGCAGUAGGGAAUUUUCGGCAAUGGGGGAAACCCUGACCGAGCAACGCCGCGUGAGCGAAGAAGGCCUUCGGGUCGUAAAGCUCUGUUGUAAAGGAAGAACGGCGCAUACAGGAAAUGGUAUGCGAGUGACGGUACUUUACCAGAAAGCCACGGCUAACUACGUGCCAGCAGCCGCGGUAAUACGUAGGUGGCGAGCGUUAUCCGGAAUCAUUGGGCGUAAAGAGGGAGCAGGCGGCCGCAAGGGUCUGUGGUGAAAGACCGAAGCUAAACUUCGGUAAGCCAUGGAAACCGGGCGGCUAGAGUGCGGAAGAGGAUCGUGGAAUUCCAUGUGUAGCGGUGAAAUGCGUAGAUAUAUGGAGGAACACCAGUGGCGAAGGCGACGGUCUGGGCCGCAACUGACGCUCAUUCCCGAAAGCGUGGGGAGCAAAUAGGAUUAGAUACCCUAGUAGUCCACGCCGUAAACGAUGGUCACUAAGUGUCGGGGGUCAAACCCCGGUGCUGCAGUCAACGCAAUAAGUGACCCGCCUGAGU
rnacentral:rRNA from 1 species